rnacentral:rRNA from 1 species
CGAAAGCCUGACGGAGCAACGCCGCGUGAGGGAUGAAGGCCUCUGGGCUGUAAACUUCUUUUCUCAAGGAAGAAGAUCUGACGGUACUUGAGGAAUAAGCCACGGCUAAUUCCGUGCCAGCAGCCGCGGUAAUACGGGAGUGGCAAGCGUUAUCCGGAAUUAUUGGGCGUAAAGCGUCCGCAGGCGGCCCUUCAAGUCUGCUGUUAAAACGUGGAGCUCAACUCCAUCAUGGCAGUGGAAACUGUUGGGCUUGAGUGUGGUAGGGGCAGAGGGAAUUCCCGGUGUAGCGGUGAAAUGCGUAGAUAUCGGGAAGAACACCAGUGGCGAAGGCGCUCUGCUGGGCCACAACUGACGCUCAUGGACGAAAGCCAGGGGAGC